UGGAAUUGUAUUUAUUUUUACUUUUUUUUAUAAUAUCAGAUAUAUGUAUUUAUUGUAUUAUGUAUAUGUAUAAUAUAAAUACAAUUAUUUCAUUAAUUUUAUUAAAACUUGGUGAAUACUGACUAUCGGCGAAUUGCGUGUCGACCAACUGGAAAAUCGCCUUCAUUUGUAUUACAUAUACAUAUAGUUCUAUAAUUUGAUAUGAUACGAUUAUUAUUUCCACGGGUCGAAUGCGCGCGUGUUAUUAUGAAUUUAUAAUGACGGCUUAUUGAAGCGUCGACAAAAACAAUCCGGGUGAAAAAUAACCUGAAUUAUGUUACGCAAUUUUAAAAAACCGACAACAUUUACGACGAGUAUUGUAUAGUACACACGGAGUCAGCGACUAAGACCUUUACGGUUAAACAUUUUGUAAUUAUUCGAUUUUUCUUUUAGGAACCUAUAUUUUAUUAAUUUAUACUCUGCGUUUCUCACUCGAUAAGUCACGAACAUAAUUAAAGAAAGAAAAAAAAAACUCCUAGGUCGUAUUUGAUUAUUCUAAUAAAAUAAACAAUCGGCCGGGAACUCGUUGUUCAAGGAUUUCCGACCGAAAUUCUGCACGAAGGUCUCUGCAUGUCUCUCUGUGUCAGCUGUUCAACAAUCAACUCUAUAUAUGGCGUACAGACUUCUGAAUUUAUUAUUGCGUAUAAUAUGUACUCACAUAAAUUGUAAACUGCAACAAAAUCUGAAAAAUCAUCCAUGUACCACCGAAAACAUAAUGUCAUGGAGCCAAUUAAAGGCAAGUGAAUAAUUACAAUAUACAUAUAGGUAAACGUGCGCUGACAACAAUAAACUAAUAUAGUUUUAUUUAUUUUUUUUUUACUUCCAACUAUUUUUUUGUGAUAAACGUAUAGUAAUAAUAACAGUUUUUUUUUCAGAAUAAUAUACUCGUAUUGUUACCCAUACCAGGGAUGUACAACUGGCGGCCCACAGGACUCAUCCGACCUUUUAUAUCUGGCCCGUGCUGCAGUUGUAAAUUGCUUUAUACAAUUGUUAGCGUUUAUCUGUAUUUUAUGUUAUUACGUUAAUUGUAAAUAAAUCCUCGUCCUCAAAUAAAU
rnacentral:lncRNA from 1 species